rnacentral:rRNA from 1 species
CCCGCUGAACUUAAGCAUAUCAAUAAGCGGAGGAAAAGAAACUAACAAGGAUUCCCCUAGUAACUGCGAGUGAAGCGGGAAGAGCUCAAAUUUGAAAUCUGGCAGCUCUCUGAACUGUCCGAGUUGUAAUCUAGAGAAGUGUUACCUGUGCUGGACCGUGUACAAGUCUCCUGGAAUGGAGCGUCACAGAGGGUGAGAAUCCCGUCUUUGACACGGACUGCCUGCAUGUUUAUGGUGCGCUCUCAAAGAGUCGAGUUGUUUGGGAAUGCAGCUCAAAAUGGGUGGUAAAUGCCAUCUAAAGCUAAAUAUUGGCGAGAGACCGAUAGCGAACAAGUACCGUGAGGGAAAGAUGAAAAGAACUUUGGAAAGAGAGUUAAACAGUACGUGAAAUUGCUGAAAGGGAAACGCUUGAAGUCAGUCGCGUCGGCUAGAAAUCAACCUUGCUUUUGCUUGGUGUACUUUCUUGUUGAUGGGUCAGCAUCAAUUUUGACCGUUGGAUAAAGUCGUUGGGAAUGUGGCAUCUUAGGAUGUGUUAUAGCCCAUUGUCGCAUACAGCGGUUGGGAUUGAGGAACUCAGCACGCCUUUAUGGUCGGGGUAGCAACCCACGUAACGCGCUCAGGAUGCUGGCAUAAUGGCUUUAAGCGACCCGUCUUGAAACACGG